rnacentral:rRNA from 1 species
CAAUAGCGUAUAUUAAAGUUGUUGCGGUUAAAAAGCUCGUAGUUGGAUCUCGGCAAGCAGAGGGCGGUUCGUUAUUUGACGCUACUACCCUAUUUGCUCGUGUUUUUGUCGGAGGUCUCUUGGUGCUCUUAACCGAGUGUCAAGUGAUGCCGGCAGGUUUACUUUGAAAAAAUUAGAGUGCUCAAAGCAGGCUUUACACGCUUGAAUAUUCGUGCAUGGAAUAAUAGAAUAGGACGUCGUUUCUAUUUUGUUGGUUUUCGGAAAUCGACGUAAUGAUUAAUAGGGACAGUCGGGGGCAUUAGUAUUCCAACGACAGAGGUGAAAUUCUUGGACCGUUGGAAGACUAACUACUGCGAAAGCAUUUGCCAAGAAUGUUUUCAUUAA